rnacentral:rRNA from 1 species
CCUACGGGCGGCAACAGUGGGGGAUAUUGCACAAUGGGGGGAACCCUGAUGCAGCGACGCCGCGUGGGUGAAGGAGUGCUUCGGCAUGUAAAGCCCUAUCGGCAGGGAAGAAGCAAGACGGUACCUGACUAAGAAGCCCCGGCUAACUACGUGCCAGCAGCCGCGGUAAUACGUAGGGGGCGAGCGUUAUCCGGAUUCACUGGGUGUAAAGGGAGCGUAGACGGCCAUGCAAGCCAGGGGUGAAAGCCCGGGGCCCAACCCCGGGACUGCCCUUGGAACUGUGCGGCUAGAGUGCGGGAGGGGCAGGCGGAAGUCCUGGUGUAGCGGGGAAAUGCGUAGAUAUCAGGAGGAACACCGGCGGCGAAGGCGGCCUGCUGGACCGCGACUGACGUUGAGGCUCGAAAGCGUGGGGAGCGAACAGGAUUAGAUACCCGAGUAGUC